rnacentral:lncRNA from 1 species
UCUUAUUUUGUUUGACGAUGAAUUAUUCAAUUCUCAUCAACGCCUAUCUUUCUCUGCCGAAAGGCUGCUCCAUCCACUCUGUAUCGAAUCGCAUAAAGGAGAUGUCUAAAGCCUGCUCCAAGGUAUAUAUCCUGGUGUCUUUGGCUUCUAUCUCAACCUUCAACUGUCCUAUUUGUAUCUCCCUUUGCUCCAACCUCCCUCAUAACUCGGCUAACUCCAUCUGUGCUCGGUGAGCAGCGUCCUUGUACUGCUGGAAAUCUUGAGAGUACGAUUUCGUGCCUCCGCUUGCUCGACUCUAACCUUUAAGUCAUCGUUCCUAACUAACAAAUCUCUUAUCAUCUCACUGUCUGUGUACUCCUCGCUAGAGUCCAUCGUCUCUUGGGUCAAGGAAUUACUACUUUGACUUUCGUCAUCCAUCCUAUGACCACAAUAAACGAGACAACAUUAGUACCGAAAUAAAAUAUAUUCAUCGGUAAAAUGAAGGAAUAUUUUAUUUAGUACAACUAAAACUUGAUGGAUCUCUUCGACUCAUCAUAUCCUAUAACUCCUCACCAGAGUACUUCGUCUCCUGGUUCACUUAACUUUCGUUCUCCAUUCUACUAAGGUUAUAACCUAGGUUUUCGCACUCCUAACGUUUAUAACCUACAGCUUUGAUACCAACCUAUGACGCCCCCGAAUCCGGGUACUUGAAACCCGAACUCAGUGCUUCACGAUACCAUUUCUUUAAGCU